UCGCAUUUAUUUAUUUUUAUUUUAUUUUAUCAUAUUUUUCAUUGAGACUAAAAUUUGAAUAGUUUGUAUUUUCAGGAUCACUUUCUUAACUUGUAUAGGAUGCAGGAUUUCGAUGACAUGCACAUGACAUAUAGAGAUAAUGCUUAGAGAGAGCGCUACAUCGCUCUGUAUCAGCGCCUUAUGGCACCCACACGUUAUCCUGAUCAGCACUGUAUGGAGGCACUGGGUAUCGAGCCGAGUAUCC
rnacentral:lncRNA from 1 species